CAAAACACUAGUAUUGGUUGCCCUGCAGUCGCCCUCUCCCACUUGAAUUUUUCCACCUUCCCCUCCCCCAGUCUCUGUGGCUCUGUCUCUCUCUCUCUCUCUGUCGUGAGACGUGGUGGUUGUGGUCGUUCUCCGGUCAACAUCUGCCUCUUCCAACACGCAGACCCAGAGCCGCCUUUCAAAGGCGCUCUGGGAUUUCGCUUCGUCUCUCUCUAUAUUUAUAACGUGACGCCUUCCUCUCUUCCUCCUCUUGCGUACGUCUGCAAGGCCCUCCUCAUUUGAAUCGCCUUGCCUCUUUUUUCCUUUUGUCUACCACAUCUGUCGGCAUUGUCACAUGUAUUGGACCGUACGCCGUACUCCUUUCGCAUCCAUCCGUUUUUUGCGUGUUCUGUGCCGCACCAACAGUGAAUCUUCCCUGCCUCCCCCUCCCUCACAGACACACAUACACAGCCCCACUUGUGCCGGUGGAGAAGGCACCUCCAUCAGGGUCGCGCAUCUCGUUUCGCUGUGCACACCCAUAUUCUCUCCCCCUCCUGAGGACGAUAAAGGCCAAGGGCAGAAGGACGCCCGUCUUCUCCGUCGCCGCCCCCUCUUUGUAUUCGCGCUAUUCGCAAAAGAGGUGCACAGGAGAAAGCGCUUCUCUCCUCUGUCCGCCGUCCCCGCGCUCCCCUUCAUCACUUGUAGCUCUCUCUGUCCUUGUGCGUGCGCCGGAGAGAAACCCCCGAACACUUUCCCAUUCGAUUGAAUUACAGGAGAGCGAAGCAAUGGUCGCUACCGCCGUGAAAUACGUUAUCGGCGCCGGCGUGGCCGUCUUCGGUGGGAUGGUGGGCUUCAGCUACACAAACCCCGCCUGGACGCAGCGCAGAUUUGACACAAGCAAGUGUCCGCCGCUGAAGUACGAGACUGUGCCGACGCGCGAGAUGUGCGUGCAGGCGCUGAAGGCGCACAACUCGGUGACGAACCCGCUUGACGUGCUGAUCAUUGGCGGCGGAUGCGUCGGCGCUGGGUCUGCCCUGGACGCCGUCACGCGCGGCUUGUCGGUCGGCAUGGUGGACAUGGGCGACUACGCUGGUGAGACGAGCAGUCGCAGCACGAAGCUCAUCCAUGGCGGUAUCCGCUACCUGCAGAAGGCUGUUUUUCAGGCGGACCCCAUGCAGCUGAAGCUUGUGGCUGAGGCGCUGCGCGAGCGCACCAUCAUGAUCCACCAGGCUCCACACUUGUGCCACAGUCUGCCAACACUGGUGCCGUGCUAUCACCCGAUCGAUAUUGGCAUGUACUGGUGUGGUGCGAAGAUGUACGACCUCAUGGCCGCUUUUUAUGGUGGCACCCUGGAAUACUCUAGCUUCCUCUUUCCCUACGAGGUGAUGAAAGCUUAUCCGAAGCUGAGGAAGAUGGAUCAGGACAACAACGCCCUCCUCGGCGCUGUGCGCUACUAUGACGGACAGAUGAAUGACGCACGGCUCUGCUACUCGGUGGCCAUGACGGCAGCUUGCUACGGCGCCGCCACGGUGAACUACGCCAGGGUGAAGCAGAUGGAGGUGGUGAAGGACGACAAGGGCGAUGAGCUGGUGCGCGCCAUCAUCGAGGAAAGCAUCGCCAGGAAGACGAUCGAGGUAUACAGCAGGUCUAUCAUCAACGCAGGUGGUCCCUUCAGCGGCGAGGUCGAGAAGCUUGCAAAGGGUGCCGAAAGGCAGCUCGACAUGUUCCCGGCCGCUGGCACGCAUAUCGUGAUUGACCGCAAGUACUGCCCGAGGGAGCGCGAGGCGAUGGUCGUGCCAUCGAACGACGGCCGCGUCGUCUUUGCCAUUCCGUGGCUCGGUGGCUGCCUGCUUGGCACCACAGACCACACGUGUGACGUGCAGUCCAACCCGCCGGUGCCACAAGCGGACGUGGACUUCCUCCUAGAGAACAUCAGACCCUUCAUCGGCAGCGUGCCGCCGGAGGCAGUGAAAUCCGCGUGGACCGGCAUUCGCCCGCUCGCGAUUCCGAAGGCGCAGAAGCUGAGGGGCGGCGGCACGCAGAACAUCGUGCGCGAGCACGUCAUCGCGGUGGAUCCGAAGUCGCACGUGCUGAACAUCACCGGCGGGAAGUGGACAACUUACCGUAAGAUGGCAGAGGAGGCGGUGGACGAAUUGCAGAGGACUCUCAUGAAAGGCAAGGCCGACUUCAAGCCCUGCUGUACUAUGAACCUGGUGCUCGUGGGUGCGCGGAAUCUUGACAAAGUCGCGUCCACCGCCCCCUUGGGCAUCCCUGAGGACGUGCAUAAGCACUGGCGCUCCAACUACGGUGAUCGCUACGGCGAGGUGAUGGCCGUUGCCACGAAGGACUCCAAGCUGAUGGCGCGCCUGGCGAAGGACUCGCCAGUGGUCGAGGCCGAGGUUGUCUAUGCGGCUCAGGGAGAACACUGCGAGCACGUCAUGGACUUCAUCGCUCGCCGCACCCGGAUAGCCUUUGUGAACGCCGAGCAGGCGGAGCAGGUGGUGCCACGUGUGACAGAGCUCAUGGGGCAAGUUAAGGGUUGGGGGAACUCGAAGCGCAAUGCGGAGAGGGCGGCCGCUUACUCCGCCCUCGCCUCCUUCCAGGGCAGGUAGACUCACGCGAGCCGGCCUGAUGUCGCCGCACCCGAUUGGGAAAAAGGCGAAGAGUCCGAGAUGCUCACGCGGAGAAGAUUGAAAACGGAGUGAGCGGAACAGGGAGACAUGAGAGACGUCGCCUGUCUUUUGCCCUGCCCCGCUUCUGCUACGGCCACCAGCCAGAGGCGUCGAGUACUUUCCCUUGCCCAUAGCGUCUCUGAUUUGCCCAAUCGGCACACUCUGUAAGACCCCAAUGUCGUGCGGGGGUGGGGAGGAGCCACUUCAGCGUGGCAUCUCAGGACACAGGGGGGGGCGCUCGCUCUCUCUCUCUGUGUGCGGAGGAGCGAAGCAGCCCCCCACCGCCCACCCUCUUCGCUAUCCCUGCCAAUGCGAGGCCACUUCUGGUGGUGGCAAGCUCAAACGCGCCCUCAUGGUGUGUCGGAGGCGCCAGAGCGAUGCGUCGCUGCUGACGCCGGCGGCCAGGUCCCGGAGUGGGGCGGUGUCGGUGCGACCUGCGACCGUGAACACGUCUGUGCCGCCCACAUCGAUGGGCAAAGCGCCAGCGGGAGUCGAGCGAAUCCCACCCAACCCUCACACCGCCCACUGCGGGGGGAGGCCGGGGUGUCGCCCCGCGAGGGGUGCACCGCAGGGGUGGCGGCCGGCAUAACGGGCCGGCUGUGAGGCGGCCCGCGCGCCGGCGGGUGCCGGGUGGAGAGAAGCUUGGCUCAUGCCGUACGGCAGAGAACGGAGACUGUAGGCAAAGGACUGUCAACGACUAUCUGGAUGAUUGUUGUCUGCGUCGCUGGUGAUAAAUCCGCUCUCUGUCGUUGGUGGAGCGUACUCCCUUGCCCCCCUCCCUACCCUUCCUCUCUCUCUGCUCAGACUUCUUUCGUGUUGAUCUCCGCUACUGGGUAGUCUGCCGCUGGGAGUGUGGGGCCCGUACCCGCUCACAGAUGUACCAGGAGUACGUUUGUGUGAAGCGGGAAAAAGUCAACAGAACUACUUUUCGUUUUCGGCUUGCAAGCGGUACUCGUGUGUACAGCAUGCUUCGUGCUCCGCCGCUUUUCUGGUUCUCCCUUUUUGGUGCUGCACAGUCCAAGAUCUCGAAGGAUAUGUUUUAGCCGGACUGCACGGCCGAUGUUUCUCCUCAUCUCUCGCUUCCUUUGUGUGCGCGCGUGCCUGUGAAUGGGCGUUGUCGGUGUCGGCUGUAUGUUGCUCUUGCUCUCUAUUUUCUCCCUCGGCCCUGAUGCCGGCCACCUCACUUUGAUGCCCAGGGGUUUGUACUCACUCUGUGUGGGGAGGUCAAGGGCCUGCCGCCCGGCCUCCGGCACGGCUGCGAACUCUUGGCUUUCGUGAAGGGGUCUGGACUGGCGCUAUGCCCGAGAGACUUGCGCUCACGUUUGUACCAGCUUGACGCGAGUGGCCUCGACGACGCAGCACGUAUACGCACCCUCCUGUUUUUUCCUGCUGCUGCUGCGUCGUGGUAGUACUGCGCAUGAUCCAAGGCCUAGCCGGCACUUUUUAGUCCGGCUCCUGGAAUCCUCGACACCAGUCUGCAUUCUGCAAGACGAAAAGAAGCACGGCGGUGGCGCCGCGUUGCUCACGCAACACGGCAUGUGCAGAGGUGUGUGCCCUCCCCUCCGUUCCCAAGGGCAAAUGUGUAGCAGAGACGGUCUGGCUUUGCUGCGGUGACCGUGCUCGACGGAUACUCACCUCACGCCCGGCCACACGGCCAAGGGUGUCCUCGCGGCAUGGAAAGUUCUCUCGAUCAGGUGCCAAGCGACGUUGCACUCAGUUCUCGCAUGAUUCGUAUGGGCGCUAACUAGCGUCGCCCGGUGUGCGACACGAGAUGACGACCCGAUCGGGCUGGUGCCAUUCCGUAGGAUGGGCUCAAUGACGAAUACCUGACGUGUGCAAGCGAUAGCGACACCACGGCACGGCACACCGCCGACACCGCCACGCAGACGCGGACCUGCGAGGUGUCCCGCAAGGCCACAGCAAAAUGCACGACGGCGGCCAACAACACCCACAAAGGCGGGCCCUUCUAGUGACGCCGCCUACGCCGCGCUCUGCACGCCAGAGCUGACGCGAUGGGAAUCAGCUCAUGUGAGGCUGCUCUGCGCGCCGCCCUCUGCAAGGUGGUGCGCUGGACACUGGAGCACGCCAGGCAGCUGGAUGAGCAUCCCCCAACACAAGGCGCACACGCGCCGGUGCGCGGCACCGCGACCAGCAGCAGCUCUCCGCUGCACGCACGUGCCUAGAGGAGUAUCGCCACCCCCGCCUUCUCCGCGUGCACAUCCAGCCCACGCGCCGCAUCGGUCCACAGGCUGCAGAGGUCAACAAAGUACACACGACUCGGCCUGCCGAGCGCAGGGGGGGGGUCUGUCCCGCACGAAUGCGGUCCGUCAAAGGAUCUCCUCCGCUACUCCUACAUGGCGCGGCUGGAGUCAGCGUUGCUCCACGGUGCCGCCGCGUGGUCGGAUCGUGCUGGUCGGCAACUGCACGAAGGCCCUUGCGCACCUUCACGCCCACACAGUAGCAGUCGUCGUGGGUACCCCAAAAUACGCACACAGCGGGCACCUACUCGAAGAGGCCAAGUUCCUGCCCCGGAGCCCACAGCGCUGCUGCGCCGCGAACGCCUGCAUCCCUCCGCAGCUACGCCAGGAGGCCGCCUUGCGCACUUGGCGUGGGGAUGGGUGCACGCGCCGCAUGGCAGUGCCGUCACAACGCCUCCGCAGCUCUCACGCCGGCGUGCAGGCAUCGACACCCCUCGGUGCUCCGCACGCCCGUUGCGCAGCCCUCCCCUACCCGCUGGUGCACAGAUGGUGCAGCACAGACACACAGCAGGUCACGUGCCGCCGUGAUGCUCUAUCGCGAUCAUGCACGCACAGAUGCGCACGGGCAAGGGGCGGCGGCGCCCUUGUGUGCCGCGACAGCACCCAGCCUGCAGCAGUGGUGUCCACGCCUCACCUGCGGCGACAAAGAGAAGCACGUGUGGCCGCCCUUGCUGCGGGGUCACUCUGCCGCCCUCAUGGCACCCGACACGGCCCCCGCAACCAUGGAGGACGGCUUGGUGCGACGGACCUGUGCACGUGCGCUGGCGCGACGGUGGCCCGUCGCGCGCGCCUCACAUUUCAGCGUGCCGGUGGUCAUUGUGUAUGGAAACACAAGGACACAGGUGACAGUCUUGCCGAAUCGGCAAUGCCAGAGAGGCGCCGACGCCAACUGCACGGAUGACGGACCCGGUCACCCGUCUCCAGCGCCCGGUCGACAUUCACCGAAACUGCACGACGGAUCCCACCGCCUUUGCCCCCGCGCAGGAACCUGGGCGCUGCCGGCGAGGAUGAAGGCAUUCAGUCCAACCGAGUGUAUCUGGCGCCGACUGCGCAGCGCGUAUGUAACGAUGGGACGGGAAAGGACAAGAAGAGCCUGUCUGGUGCACGGCCCGAUACCAUGGCAGGACGGCUCGUCCCAGACACGACCGGGAUGUGGCCGUAGUGCAGUGGAGUUCGGCGGACUGUGAUCGUGUAUGCGUGUGCGCUUGCUCACUUGCUCGUGCUAGAGUGGCCACGUCGAAAACGAAAGAAAGCGCCUCGGAAGUGCGCUCUCCGUGUGCGCACGCAAUGCCAUCGCGUGCAUCAGUGGUGUCCAUGCCUGUCAACACGGGGAACGCGAAGGGAAAGCAGGGACGACUGCGAUGGUGCUUCACUGGUUAGCCUCAGCUUUUCUUCCACUUAAGCUGAGCGUGCACCUCUUGCUCGUCUCCAUCUCUCGCUGCUGACGCGUGCAGUGCCAACUGUGCACACUCCACCGGAGAUGGUCACCGUAGGACCCCCACUGGUGUGGUGGGCGGUAAUGUGGGCAGCGGUAACGAAAGGACGUAGAGCGGAAACGAGGUGGCAUCGCGUUCCGGCUGACGGCGAGAGAGCGCCACACCUCAACUUGCUCGUGUGCAUUGUCGAGUCGAGAAGGCUUCUUUUUUCGACUUGGCGCCACACGGGGUUCAGGCAGGUCAUCGUCAUCUUAUGCUGUCCUCUACACCUCGUUUCAUGGGCUCCCUUUCUGUUGUGCCUGAUGCGACGCGAUGACGCGGACACUACGCAUGGCAGCUUCCUCGGUGUCUUUGUACUUCUCACUGUUUGCUUGAUGCUUUCCGUGUGAGUCUCCACGCGCGUGUUGGUGGACAACAUCACGCCCCAUCCAAAGAAGAACGAUAGGGCGCCACUCGUGCUGAGAAGCGUGCUCGUCUUCCGCAACUCCCCCCCCUCUCUCUGCAAAAAGUAAA
rnacentral:misc_RNA from 1 species